UAUUGCAACAAUGACAAGUAAUAUUUUCAUUUUUAGCUUUUACAAAUAUGUUCUUUAAAUAUUUUUGUUUCCUAUUUGUUUUAUAUCCUAAUCCAGCCUUAUCAUAUAUAGCUUUUUGACUAUCAAGAAUCAUAUUUAAUUUGGUUGAGCUAAGUGUAAACUUGUCUACUAAGGAUUUAUAUUUUUCAGCAUUUUCUUUUAACUUGACAUUUUCAGCAAUUAGAUUUUUGGUUUUAUUUGUGAGUCUCCUACUUAAUGUUUCAUAGUUAUGAGAUAGUUUCAGCUUAUCUUUGAUAAGAGAUUGAUUUUCUUCUUUUAGAACUUUAUUUUUAUUGAUUAGUUUUUUGUGUUCUUCCAUGAGUUCUAAAAAUGCAUCAUGUAAUUCAUCAACAGUAAAAUCACAUUCAAGUUCAGAAUC
rnacentral:lncRNA from 1 species